rnacentral:rRNA from 1 species
GGCAUCGCGUGCAGCUUGCAUGCCUGCAGGUCGACGAUUUUCUGGUUGAUCCUGCCGGAGGUCACUGCUAUUGGGAUUCGACUAAGCCAUGCGAGUCGCGAGGGUUCGGCCCUCGGCUGACGGCUCAGUAACACGCGGAUAAUCUGCCCUUAGGUGGAGGAUAACCUCGGGAAACUGAGAAUAAGACUCCAUAGCUCUAGGAUGCUGGAAUGCACUUAGAUCAAAAACUUCGGUGCCUAAGGAUGAGUCUGCGGACUAUCAGGUAGUAGUCAGGGUAAUGACCUGACCAGCCUAUGACGGAUACGGGUUGUGAGAGCAAUAACCCGGAGAUGAUAUCUGAGACACGAUAUCAGGCCCUAUGGGGCGCAGCAGGCGCGAAAACUUCACACUGUGCGAAAGCACGAUGAGGGAAUCCCAAGUGCUGGCUCGUAAGAGUCAGCUGUUUUUCUGUCUAGAAAACAGAGAGAGUAAGAGCUGGGUAAGACGGGUGCCAGCCGCCGCGGUAAUACCUGCAGCUCAAGUGGUGGCCGCUAUUAUUGGGCCUAAAACGUUCGUAGCCGGUCUAGUAAAUGCCUGGGUAAAUCAUACGGCUUAACCGUACGAAUUCCGGGUAGACUGCUGGACUUGGGACUGGGAGAGGCUAGAGGUACUCCUGGGGUAGAGGUGAAAUUCUGUAAUCCUAGGGGGACGACCAGUGGCGAAGGCGUCUAGCUAGAACAGGUCUGACGGUGAGGAACGAAGCCCUGGGGCGCAAACGGGAUUAGAUACCCCGGUAGUCCAGGGUGUAAACGCUGCUUGCUUGAUGUUAGUCGGGCUCCGAGCCCGAUUAGUGUCGGAGAGAAGUUGUUAAGCAAGCUGCCUGGGGAGUACGGCCGCAAGACUGAAACUUAAAGGAAUUGGCGGGGGAGCACCGCAACGGGUGGAGCGUGCGGUUUAAAUGGAUUCAACG